rnacentral:rRNA from 1 species
GGAAUCCUUGAGGGAGUUGCUUGUCGAGGGUGUCUGAAUCUCCAGUGCAAUGAACGACCAGCUCAGAACUGGAGCGGACAAGGGGAAUCCGAC